rnacentral:lncRNA from 1 species
AUGCAACACUGUUUGGAAAAAAAAAUCAUUCAACAAAUACAGAAUAACCAACAAGAAACACUUGCAUUUUCAUAUGCUGCAAUGGAGAUAGACUUAUUCAUGUGGAAACUCAAGUUAGAUACAACGUGCUGUUUCUCCAGGGAGACCCUGUCGAGGAUUCAGAAUCUCCAGUCCCUCUCACCUACCCCCUCACCACCUCCCAAAUAUUGCGUCACAGUCCCACUUCACUGCUGGGAUCAAGUUAACAGGCCUGAUGCAGAAGUAGAUGAAGCGUCACGGAAAUCCAGCACCUUAAAAGUAAUAUCCAUGAAUAAAACGGACAGAUUGCCGGUCUAUGCAGCAGUGCCGAAUAACUACUUCAUGUCGUCUUGCUCUGAGGAUAUGGUCCACAUCGUUUUAAAGCCCCUUUUCCUAUGCAAUAAUAUACGUUUCCAAUCUUUUAGUCAAUAAUCAACGUAUGAAACCAUAAAAUGGCCAUAAAAACACUCAGAGCAAAAGAUUCCUGUGGGAGAUACAAACAGCAAACCCUCUGGCUGAUCAAAAGAGAGACAGCAAAGCGAGGAUCGGGAGUGGGUUAAAGACGUUUUUCCAAGCUGUUGAAAUAAACUACUUUCUGCGUCAAAGAGAUGUGCUCCC